AUGGAAAAUGCCUGCGAAGACAUCACCAAUGUCGUGCGCUCGGUGAAGCUGCUUAGGAUUGACGGCUACUGCACCACCGAAACAAUGGGCCAUGGGGAUUGCAUCAGAUCCAGUUUGAACGUUGGUGGGUACGAGUGGGAGAUCUGCAUUUACCCUGCCAUGAGAGACACAGAUGGCACUCGGGCCAACCUCAGCUGCUGUUUGGUUGAUCUCACUGGCGCACGUGUACCAUUAGGGGGGAGCGUGUCAUGGAUAUUCAACCGCCCAUGGACAUUCUGCUAUCUUGUAAAGUGCUCGCCUGUCGCCCGAGAAAAUAUCUCGCCUCCGGUUCGUCUCAUAUCAACAGGCAAGCUACCAUUAUCUGGUUUUCUCCUAAAUGAUUCCUUUACUGUGGAAUGCACCAUCACCGUGUUUAAGGAGGAUUUGCCAGCACCAGCAACAACCCCAGGUAAACAAGUGUCUGGCUCUGGGUCAUCACCUAGCUUGCAAGACCACCUCGCUGAACUCCUGCGCAGUGGAAUGGAAGCGGAUGUCACAUUUCUUGUGUCCGGCAAGUCUUUCGCUGCGCACAAGCUCAUUCUCGCUGCAAGGUCCCCUGUCCUUAUGGCUGAGUUCUUUGGGGACAUGAAGGAGACGAGCUCUCGGUGUGUGGAGAUCAAGGACAUGAAAGCGGAGGUAUUCGAGCCGUUGCUUUACUUCAUCUACACUGACUCUGUUCUGGAAUUCAGUCUUCAGCAUGAGAGAGUGACCAUGCUGGCUCAGCAUCUGCUUGCAGCUGCCGACAGGUAUGGAUUGGACAGGCUGAAGCAGAUCUGCGAAGGCAAGCUCUCUGAUGGCAUUAGUGUCGACACGGCAGCGAUAACUCUGGCUUUAGCCGAGCAGCACUACUGCCCACAGCUCAAGGUUAAGUGUGUCGACUUCAUUGUUAGCACUCCUGCAAUCCUUGAUGCUGUGUUGGCGACGGAUGGAUAUAAGCAUCUGGAGGCAAGCUGUCCUAUGGUAUUGCCUGAGCUUCUCAAGUCUGCGCGGGGCAGAAAGAAUUGA
rnacentral:rRNA from 1 species